rnacentral:lncRNA from 1 species
CUUCAAGACAGCAUUUUUUUGACAAAUGCGUUAUUCACCAAAAACAUUCUCCCAGCUUUAAUAGAAAAUAAAUAAAUAAAAAUUCAAUAGACUGGAAAGAGGCCAAUAGGCUUUGGUUCAGGCCUUGUAAAGCAGCAAAUAAACAUUUUCCACAUGCUUUAGGAGAGCAAAUGGUUCCUUGGUUCUCCACAGUCUGUCUGCAGAAGAAGGGAGCUAAACACUUGAAGAAAUGUGUGGUUGGAUUUGUUUCACCGCCAGUUAGGAGGGCAAGCCUCUGGUGUGGCCAUCGGGCUGUUCUUCUCUUAUAUGGUACACAGCUUCAAGUGUCCAGAAGUACAAUAGAAAGUAUUACCUGCCCUCGCUGAAAAAGCCACCAUACUUCUCCUGCAAAGCUCAAGGAGCCAGCAAAUGAGUAACAGUAGGCGCCUGGCACCCCAUGUCAUCGUGAUUCCACACGACAUCAUUUUAUGAUGCAAAUGCACUCUGAUCUCAAUAGCAUGCAAUAUAUCAAACGUGUAAUGUAUGCAAAAAAGAUCCAGAUAAGGGAGGAGGUAAAUAAAUUUGUUAUGAUUUUAAUGAUAUACA